CAUUGGCCAACACAUUUAUUGGUUGUACACUGUGUGGCACACAAUGUUCUACUUGCGAGGGUUACAUUAAUGAAUAAACGGCUGGAGUCCCUGCCCUCGUGGGGCUCCCAUUCUGAGGAGGCGGCUCUCAAUAAACCAAUAAGUGCUUUGGAGAAAAAGAAAACACAUUAAGGGGUAACCAAGCAAGGAGCAGUUAUUGCUCUUUGUUAAGGAGGUCAAGGAAGGCUUAACAGAUAAGAAGACAUCUGAAUAGAGACCUGAAGGAAGCAAGAUGCACAGGUUAUACACUUACCUUCAAGUUGGUUGGAUCAGGACACAUCUGGAACUCUGGCUCACCUCAAUACUAGACCUCCGUGGGGAGCUGUGUUUGCUGUCAGAUUUCUCCUUCUUGCAUGCCAAGUGUUCCUUUGAGACUGCCAUAGUUUCUGUAAGUGAGCCUCUCCCAGAGCCACUGCAACCUGUUGGACCUGUGAACAACCAAGCCCAAAGGAGGACAAAGUUCAAGACCUUCACCCAGGUUCCUUUGCCUCAAUAACAAUCAACAAAUGGGAAAUCUGAAGACAGUCAUCACCUAGAUACACACGAGUGUGGCUGAAUCACACCUCCUGCUCAGCUGGACCCACUGAGUAUUGUCAUCAGGGUAUUAGCUCUAUCAACAUGCUAACGUCUUCCAUUCCAUUUGUUAACCGCCAAAGUGUGAUUAUGCUGGGCAGUAGCAUCAAACCUGGAAAAGGGGCACCCAUGCUCACUUCAGCUGGUCCAAGUACAGCAAGAUCCAAGAACACUGUGUAUAUAUAGGGAAAUCCUAGAGGCAAAGAGCAUGGAUUUUGAACCUGUGACUCUGGGUCAUCAUUCACUUUGGACUCUUUUUUUUUUUUUUUUUUAGGAAAACAUAAUGACAACUGCUUCUUGCAAUGUGUAAAGUAGGAUCUUUUUGGGAUCCAUAAAUCACAACAGCUAAAUCUGCAUACUUCCCUAAGGGAUGAAUGGAGGUUUAGGAUUACUGGUAUCAGCCUUUUGAGAUUUCCCUUUAUCUCUUUAGGAAUGGGCCAUCCUCUCCUACGCACCAAAAUUAAAAGACAUUCCAGGGCAAGACCUUUCUUAGCAUAAGAUCACCUUCCCCCUUUUGAGUUAUCUGAUGAUCCCCUCCUCAAAUCCCCUCCUCUAUCAAUAAAUGCUGAGGUUCUAGCCGCCUCGUGGCCUUUCGUUCCUCGCGAACAACCGGUCA